GAUGAACGCUGGCGGCGUGCCUAAUACAUGCAAGUCGAGCGAACGGACGAGAAGCUUGCUUCUCUGAUGUUAGCGGCGGACGGGUGAGUAACACGUGGAUAACCUACCUAUAAGACUGGGAUAACUUCGGGAAACCGGAGCUAAUACCGGAUAAUAUUUUGAACCGCAUGGUUCAAAAGUGAAAGACGGUCUUGCUGUCACUUAUAGAUGGAUCCGCGCUGCAUUAGCUAGUUGGUAAGGUAACGGCUUACCAAGGCAACGAUGCAUAGCCGACCUGAGAGGGUGAUCGGCCACACUGGAACUGAGACACGGUCCAGACUCCUACGGGAGGCAGCAGUAGGGAAUCUUCCGCAAAGGGCGAAAGCCUGACGGAGCAACGCCGCGUGAGUGAUGAAGGUCUUCGAAUCGUAAAACUCUGUUAUUAGGGAAGAACAUAUGUGUAAGUAACUGUGCACAUCUUGACGGUACCUAAUCAGAAAGCCACGGCUAACUACGUG
rnacentral:rRNA from 1 species